rnacentral:rRNA from 1 species
GACAGAGGGUGCAAACGUUGCUCGGAUUUACUGGGCGUAAAGCGUGAGUAGGCGGUCUUGUAAGUCGGGUGUGAAAACCCAGGGCUCAACCCUGGCAGUGCACACGAUACUGCGAGACUGGGGUACUGAAGAGGAGAGCGGAAUUCUCGGUGUAGAGGUGAAAUUCGUAGAUAUCGGGAGGAACACCAGUGGCGAAGGCGGCUCUCUGGGCAGAUACCGACGCUGAGACGCGAAAGCGUGGGAAGCAAACAGG